CAUGUCCUUUUGAUUAUAAUUUAAGGUCUAAUCUGCUCAAUGAGUAUUAAAUUGCCGCAGUAUUUUGACUGUGCAAAGGUAGCAUAAUAAUUAGUUUCUUGAUUAGAAACUGGAAUGAAUGAUUGGACGAGAAAAUUUCUGUCUCUAAUUAAAGGGUUUUUGAAUUUUAUUUUUAAGUUAAAAAGCUUAAAUAAUUAUAAAAGACGAGAAGACCCUAUAGAGUUUUAUAUUUAAUUAAUAAUUUAAUAUUAGUAAAUUUUUUAUAAUUAAUUAUUUUAUUGGGGUGAUUUAUAGAUAUAAUUAAUUCUUUAAUAUUUUAAUUGAUGAUUAUUAAUUUUUUUAUCUAAAUUUUUUAAAUUUAAAAUUAAUUACCUUAGGGAUAACAGCGUAAUUUUUCUUUAAAGUUCAUAUUAAAAGAAAAUUUUGCGACCUCGAUGUUGGAUUAAAAUAAAUUUUUGGUGCAAUAACUUAAGAAUUAGGUCUGUUCGACCUUUAAUAUUUUACAUGAUCUGAGUUUAAACCGGUGUAAGCCAGGUUGGAUUCUAUCUUUAGAUUUUUAUUAUAUUUUAGUACGAAAGGACCAAAUAUGAAUUAAAUAUUAAUUA
rnacentral:rRNA from 1 species